CCUGCGUGUUGCAUGUUGGCCGGAUAGUAGUCCAUGGGCCCUGGAGGGCGACCCUGCAUCAUCCGGGGGUCCAUGUAGGGCAUCAUCAUCCAGCGGGGGUCAAAGUUCAUGGGCAGGGGGCCGCGGCCCAUGGAGCCCUGUGGAGGGUACUGCAGGGUCCCAGACUGCUGCUGCUUGGGACCCUGGGUCUGAGGGGUGGCCCCUGGGCCCUGCUGCUGAGGUGACUGCUGAGGCUGCUGGGGCGGGAGCUGCUGCUGACUCUGUUGGGCUGCUUGGCUGUGCUGCUGCUGCCACUGCUGCUGCUGCUUCAUCAGCUGCUCCUGAAGACACCAAGUGGGCGAGAUAUUAUAAUAAAUAAAUAAGCCAUUUAGGAGACCCUUUAUCCAAAGUGGCUUAGUCACGCGUGUAGGGCUGAGACAUAUAUCAAGUUAAUUCAAUUCAUUAGAAUGUAUGUUUUAGCGCAAAAAAUUCCAAAUGCAUGCAUCGGGAGAAUCAAAUUAUUUAGUUUCUCGAUUUUAUGAGCGUUUAUGUUCGCUUGUUCUUAUCUUGUCUUUUUGGUCUGGUCUCCUUAGUUUCUUUUGUGCUGAGUGCACCUUCCCACUCAAACACAUACACCAAGCCCCUCCCCCUGCCACUCGCAACAAAGAUGAAAGAUCACUUUUUCCUCUCUGACAACAAGCCGUUUCAACUCACCAUUUGCAUUUGCGCUUUGGUCCAACAGAAUCGGUCAUACUCUAUGUACACUGAAACACAUGGAGAAAUUUACUGUAAUAGAGGAAAAUGUAACCUUGUGUCUCAACUCCAAAAAAAUGACAAAGAGCAGAGCCUCUCGAGUGGCGCAGCGGUCUAAGGUACUGCAUCACAGUGCCAGCGGCGUCACUACAGAUCUUGGUUCGAUAACGGGCUGUGUCGCAGCCAGCCGCGACCAGGAGACCCAUGAAGUGGCACACAAUUGGGCCAGCGUCGUCCGGAUUAGGAGAGCGUUUGGCUGGCCGGGAUGUCCUUGUCCCAUCGCACUCAAGCGACACCUGUGGCGGGCCGAGCGCAUGCACACUGACACUGUAGCCAGGUGUACAAUGUUUCUUCUGACACACUGGUGCGGCUGGCGUCCAGGUUAAGAAAGCAUUGUGUCAAGAAGCAGUGCGGCUUGGCGGGGUCGUGUUUAGGAGGACGCAUGGCUCUCAAGCUUCAAGUUCGAACGGGAGUUGCAGCGAUGGGACAAGACUAACUACCAAUUGGAUAUCAUGAAAUUGGCGAGAAAAACCUGCAAAACAUUUUUUUUUUUAUACAAACAUUAAUAAAACUACAAAAAUAACUGAAAUAUCACAUAUACAUAAGUAUUCAGUCCCUUUGCUAUGAGACUCGAAAUUGAGCUCAGGUGCAUCCUGUUUCCAUUGAUCAUCCUUGAGAUGUUUCUACAACUUGGGAGUCCACCUGUGGUAAAUUCAAUUGAUUGGACAUGAUUUGGAAAGGCACACACCUGUCUAUAUAAAGUCCCACAGUUGACAGUGCAUGUCAGAGCAAAAACCAAGCCAUGAGGUCAAAGGAAUUGUCCGUAGAGCUCCGAGACAGGAUUGUGUCGAGGCACAGAUCUGGGGAAGGGAACAAAACAAUGUCUGCAGCAUUGAAGGUCCCCAAGAACACAGUGGCCUCCAUCAUUCUUAAAUGGAAGAAGUUUGGAACCACCAAGACUAACUAGAUUUGGCCACCCGGCCAAACUGAGCAAUCGGGGGAGAAGGGCCUUGGUCAGGGAGGAGACCAAGAACCCGAUGGUCAAUCUGACAGAGCUCUAGAGUUCCUCUGUGGAGACUAGAGAACCUUCCAGAAGAACAACAAUCUCUGCAGCACUCCACCUAUCAGGCCUUCACAGUAGAGAUGCCAGACAAAAGCCACUCCUCAGUAAGAAGAACAUGACAGCCCGCUUGGAGUUUGCCAAAAGGCACCUAAAGGACUCUGACCAUGAGAAACAAGAUUUCUCUGGUCUGAUGAAACCAAGAUUUAACUCUCUGGCCUGAAUGCCAAGUGUCACGUCUGGAGGAAACGAGGCACCGCUUAUCACCUGGCCAAUACCAUCCAUACGGUGAAGCAUGGUGGUGGCAGCAUCAUGCUGUGCGGAUGUUUUUCAGCGGCAGAGACUGGGAGACCAGUCAGGAUCGAGGCAAAGAUGAACGGAGCAAAGUACAGAGAGAUCCUUGAUGAAGUCCUGAGUGCUCUGGAGCAGGUUUUCAGACUGGGGUGAAAGUUCACCUUCCAACAGGAUAACGACCCUAAGUACACAGCCAAGAGAAAGCAGGAGUGGCUUCAGGAAAAGUCUCUGAAUGUCCUUGAGUGGCCCAGCCAUAGCACGGAAUUGAACCCAAUCGAUCAUCUCUGGAGAGACGUAAAAAUAGCUGAGCAGCGACGCUCCCCAUCCAAUCUGAUAGAGCUUGAGAGGAUCUGCAGAGAAUGGGAGAAACUCCCCAAAUGCAGGUGUGCCAAGCUUGUAGCGUCAUACCCCAAAAUACUCGAGGCUGUAAUCGCUGCCAAAGGUACUUCAACAAAGUACUGAGUCUGAAUACUUAUGUAAAUGUCAUAUUUUAGUUUGAUAUUUUUUAUUAAUUCACACAAAAAAAAUGUUUUGGUUUGUCAUUAUGAGGUAGUGUGUGUAGAAUGAUGAUGGGGGAAAAAAACUAUUACAGCCUUAUUCUAAAAUGGAUUCAACGUAACAAAAUGUGGAAAAAGUCAAGGGGUCUGAAUACUUUCCGAACGCACUGUAUAUUGCUAUUCAUUAUAAUUGAAAAGGAAAAAAAAAAACUAAAAAAAGGUGUUAUAUCAGCACUCUUACUCAGACUGAAUUCAAAACAGAUUAUUUAUAGCGUUUGUUGUAUUGGGACUGCAGCCAUAAAAUGGAGCCACAAAAAGGUAGUGGUAAAUUCCUCAAACUGGCACUCUGGGAAGGUUAAGCCAAUCUGAAAUGCAGCGUCAAGGACAGAACAACUACUCUUGUCCCACAUUGAUUUGGUUUGUAUUGAUCGGGGGUUAUUUUCUGGGACAAUGAAUGGAACGGUUUGCUUGCUUUGUUGAAUGGAACUCCAAUUUGGGAUGUGAAAGGGACAAUAUAUACCCCAAAUACGUCGAUUUGACUGGGCUUCAACCCCCACAUGUAUGUCUCAGCUCUUGUCUACGUCACAUCAGGUUUAACAGAUUUUACAUUACAUUUAAGUCAUUUAGCAGACGCUCUUAUCCAGAGCGACUUACAAUUUGUUUUUAUUUUAUUUUUUUACUUACAAAGAUUUGAUUUUAUUAGGAUUUCUUAGUCCAAAUAGUCCUCAUCUUCGAUGAGUCCUUAACCUCUCUAGGGUAGGUGGCACCAAAUCGUCCCACCUACGCAACAGCCAGUCUAAUCCCGUGGCGCGAUAUUCAAAUACCUUAGAAAUGCUAUUACUUCAAUUUCUCAAACAUAUGACUAUUUUACACCAUUUUAAAGACAAGACUCUCCUUUAUCUAACCACACUGUCCGAUUUCAAAAAGGCUUUACAACGAAAACAAAACAUUAGAUUAUGUCAGCAGAGUACACAGCCAGAAAUAAUCAGACACCCAUUUUUCAAGCUAGCAUAUAAUGUCACAUAAACCCAAACCACAGCUAAAUGUAGCACUAACCUUUGAUGAUCUUCAUCAGAUGACAACCCUAGGACAUUAUGUUAUACAAUACAUGCAUGUUUUGUUCUAUCAAGUUCAUAUUUAUAUCAAAAACCAGCUUUUUACAUUAGCAUGUGACGUUCAGAACUAGCAUACAUACCCCCGCAAACUUCCGGGGAAUUUACUAACAAUUUACUAAAUUACUCACGAUAAACGUUCACAAAAAGCAUAA
rnacentral:lncRNA from 1 species